ACAGGGAUUUCUAUGAAAAUAAGCGAUAUUUUAGGUUAAAAACAGGGAUUUCUAUGAAAAUAAGCGAUAUUUAAGGGGAAAAACAGGGAUUUCUAUGAAAAUAAGCGAUAUUUCAGGUUAAAAACAGGGAUUUCUAUGAAAAUA